GCGGACGUGGUGUACGGCACACCACUGCCCCAGAUAUCAUAUUCGGACUAAGUUCGAGCAGUUGAACGGGGUUCGACUCCCCGCGUCCGCA